rnacentral:rRNA from 1 species
AUGGCUCAGGAUGAACGCUAGCUACAGGCUUAACACAUGCAAGUCGAGGGAAACGACAUCGAAAGCUUGCUUUGAGUGGGCGUCGACCGGCGCACGGGUGAGUAACGCGUAUCCAACCUUCCCGCAAGUAAGGGAUAACCCGUAGAAAUGCGGCCUAAUACCUUAUGUUUUCCUUAGAGAGCAUCUGAUGAGGAACAAAGAUCCGUCGCUUGCGGAUGGGGAUGCGUCUGAUUAGCUUGUUGGCGGGGUAACGGCCCACCAAGGCAACGAUCAGUAGGGGUUCUGAGAGGAAGGUCCCCCACAUUGGAACUGAGACACGGUCCAAACUCCUACGGGAGGCAGCAGUGAGGAAUAUUGGUCAAUGGGCGAGAGCCUGAACCAGCCAAGUAGCGUGCAGGAUGACGGCCCUAUGGGUUGUAAACUGCUUUUAUAAGGGAAUAAAGUGAGUCUCGUGAGACUUUUUGCAUGUACCUUAUGAAUAAGGACCGGCUAAUUCCGUG